rnacentral:rRNA from 1 species
CCUACGGGUGGCAGCAGUGAGGAAUAUUGGUCAAUGGACGGAAGUCUGAACCAGCCAUGCCGCGUGCAGGAAGACGGCUCUAUGAGUUGUAAACUGCUUUUGUACAAGGGUAAACCUGAAUACGUGUAUUCAGCUGAACGUACUUUACGAAUAAGGAUCGGCUAACUCCGUGCCAGCAGCCGCGGCAAUACGGAGGAUCCAAGCGUUAUACGGAUUUAUUGGGUUUAAAGGGUGCGUAGGCGGAUUGAUAAGUUAGAGGUGAAAUGUCCGAGCUUAACUCGGGAACUGCCUCUAAUCCUGUUGAUCUAGAGAGUAGGUGAGGUAGGCGGAAUGUAUGGUGUAGCGGUGAAAUGCGUAGAGAUCAGACAGAACACCGAUGGCGAAGGCGGCUAACCAGUAUAUAUCUGACGUUGAGGCACGAAAGCGUGGGGAGCAAACAGGAUUAGAUACCCCAGUAGUC